rnacentral:rRNA from 1 species
UACGUAGGGUGCAAGCGUUGUCCGGAUUUAUUGGGCGUAAAGAGCGUGUAGGCGGCUAGAUAGGUCCGUUGUGAAAACUCGAGGCUCAACCUCGAGACGUCGAUGGAAACCAUCUGGCUAGAGUCCGGAAGAGGAGAGUGGAAUUCCUGGUGUAGCGGUGGAAUGCGCAGAUAUCAGGAAGAACACCCGUGGCGAAGGCGGCUUUUUGGUCUGUAACUGACGCUGAGGCGCGAAAGCGUGGGGAGCAAACAGGG